AUACGUAGGUGGCAAGCGUUAUCCGGAUUUACUGGGUGUAAAGGGCGUGUAGGCGGUCUCGCAAGUCGGAUGUGAAAUUCCCGGGCUUAACCCGGGCGCUGCAACCGAAACUGUGAGACUUGAGUACUGGAGAGGAUAGUGGAAUUCCUAGUGUAGCGGUAAAAUGCGUAGAUAUUAGGAGGAACACCGGUGGCGAAGGCGACUAUCUGGACAGUAACUGACGCUGAGGCGCGAAAGCGUGGGGAGC
rnacentral:rRNA from 1 species